rnacentral:rRNA from 1 species
UACGUAGGUGGCAAGCGUUGUCCGGAUUUAUUGGGUUUAAAGGGUGCGUAGGCGGCUUUGUAAGUCAGUGGUGAAAUAUGGCAGCUCAACUGUCAAGGUGCCAUUGAUACUGCGGAGCUUGAGUACAGAUGAGGUAGGCGGAAUUGACGGUGUAGCGGUGAAAUGCUUAGAUAUCGUCAAGAACACCUAUAGCGAAGGCAGGUUACUAAGCAACAACUGACGCUGAUGGACGAAAGCGUGGGGAGCGAACAGG